rnacentral:rRNA from 1 species
AUUGAACGCUGGCGGCAUGCCUUACACAUGCAAGUCGAACGGUAACGCGGGGCAACCUGGCGACGAGUGGCGAACGGGUGAGUAAAGCAUCGGAACGUGCCCAGUAGUGGGGGAUAGCCCGGCGAAAGCCGGAUUAAUACCGCAUACGACCUAUGGGUGAAAGGGGGGGAUCGCAAGACCUCUCGCUAUUGGAGCGGCCGAUGUCAGAUUAGGUAGUUGGUGGGGUAGAGGCCUACCAAGCCGACGAUCUGUAGCUGGUCUGAGAGGACGACCAGCCACACUGGGACUGAGACACGGCCCAGACUCCUACGGGAGGCAGCAGUGGGGAAUUUUGGACAAUGGGCGCAAGCCUGAUCCAGCCAUGCCGCGUGCGGGAAGAAGGCCUUCGGGUUGUAAACCGCUUUUGUCAGGGAAGAAAUCCUUUGGGUUAAUACCUCGGGGGGAUGACGGUACCUGAAGAAUAAGCACCGGCUAACUACGUGCCAGCAGCCGCAGUAAAAC